AGGAGGUCCCAAACCUGUCAUUCGGAUGCUUCCUGUCAGCGGCCACUUACACUGAUGAGGAGUACAGUGUUACAGAACAGCUGUUCAAGACUAAUACACAAAUAUCAGAACCUGGAUGAGGAUUUCCUCAGAAUGUAUUUAGAGAAUUACAAGGGAUCAGAUCGGACAGAUUAACAUACCUGACCAGGCCAGAAGGAACAAAUGGCAUGAAGCAGGCGUGAAUUUGUCAGCACAUUUGUCACACAACUUUGAUUCAGGCAGACAGCUGGGAAGAGGCAGAACGAGGCUACUCAGAUGGGUGCUCUAAAGUUUAGAAAAUUUCAGAAACUCACUGAAAGUCAAGAUCAUGGUCUAAAGACAUCUCCCACAAGACUUCUGUCAAUAGAGGAAGCUGAAGUGACAGCACUACGGCACUGAUAGCUGGAUUGGUGGUAUAUGGAUGUCAAUGGUGGACCAGUCCCCUAGCCCAAUACCAUACUGUUCUAG